rnacentral:rRNA from 1 species
GGGAAUAUUGGACAAUGGGCGCAAGCCUGAUCCAGCCAUGCCGCGUGAGUGAUGACGGCCUUAGGGUUGUAAAGCUCUUUCGCUCGGGACGAUAAUGACGGUACCGAGAUAAGAAGCCCCGGCUAACUUCGUGCCAGCAGCCGCGGUAAUACGAAGGGGGCUAGCGUUGUUCGGAAUUACUGGGCGUAAAGCGCGUGUAGGCGGGUCUUUAAGUCAGAGGUGAAAUGCCAAGGCUCAACCUUGGAACUGCCUUUGAUACUGGAGAUCUUGAGUCCGGGAGAGGUGAGUGGAAUUGCGAGUGUAGAGGUGAAAUUCGUAGAUAUUCGCAAGAACACCAGUGGCGAAGGCGGCUCACUGGCCCGGAACUGACGCUGAGACGCGAAAGCGUGGGGAGCAAAC